GUUCUUUAAACAGGAGACAGAUUGCUAACAUUUGGGGCUGAAAUCCGGAGGUUAUUUUGGAAUGGGAAAACUACUUGCUGCUUGGAUCCAUGACAACCAUGUAGAUACUAGUCACUCGAUUUAACAAUCUACACCACCAUGCCCCGUUAACUAUGGAUGCUGAAUUCAGGAGUGAACUACCUUGGCUUAGAUCCUAGGAGGAGUGUCCUGCUGAAAGGGAUCUCAAGGCCAGUAAGAAUCUCCCUCUCUUACAAGAAAAGACUUGCAGAUUUCACAAA